UACGAAGGGGGCGAGCGGUGUUCGGAAUCACUGGGCGUAAAGCGCACGCAGGCGGAUCGAUAAGUCGGGGGUGAAAGCCCGGGGCUCAACCUCGGAAUUGCCUUCGAUACGGUCGGUCUCGAGUGCGGGAGAGGUGAGUGGAAUUCCUAGUGUAGAGGUGAAAUUCGUAGAUAUUAGGAAGAACACCAGUGGCGAAGGCGGCUCCCUGGCCCGGUACUGACGCUCAGGUGCGAAAGCGUGGGGAGCAAACAGG
rnacentral:rRNA from 1 species